rnacentral:rRNA from 1 species
CGGGGUGCAGCAGGCGCGAAAACUUUGCAAUACACGAAAGUGUGACAGGGUCAUCCCGAGUGCCGACCGCUGAGGUUGGCUUUUACCCAGUCUAGAAAGCUGGGGGAAUAAGGAGAGGGCAAGUCUGGUGUCAGCCGCCGCGGUAAUACCAGCUCUCCGAGUGGUGUGGACGUUUAUUGGGCCUAAAGCAUCCGUAGCUGGCUGAACAAGUCCCCUGUUAAACCCACCGAUUUAAUCGUUGGUCUGCGGGGGAUACUGCUCGGCUAGGGGACGAGAGAGGCAGACGGUAUUCCCGGGGUAGGGGUGAAAUCCUAUAAUCCCGAGAAGACCACCAGUGGCGAAGGCUGUCUGCUAGAACGCGCCCGACGGUGAGGGAUGAAAGCUGGGGGAGCGAACCGGAUUAGAUACCCGGGUAGUCCCAGCUGUAAACGAUGCAGACUAGGUGUUUGGACGGCCACGUGCCGUUCUAGUGCCGCAGGGAAGCUGUUAAGUCUGCCGCCUGGGGAGUACGAUCGCAAGAUUGAAACUUAAAGGAAUU